rnacentral:rRNA from 1 species
UCAAGCGACUAAGUGUAUGUGGUGGAUGCCUUGGCGAUCACAGGCGAUGAAGGACGUGACAGCCUGCGAAAAGCUGUGGGGAGCUGGCAAAUAAGCUUUGAUCCACAGAUGUCCGAAUGAGGGAACUCACCUGCUUUGCAGGUAUCCCAUCCUGAAUAUAUAGGGAUGGGAGGCGAACGAAGCGAACUGAAACAUCUAAGUAGCUUCAGGAAAAGAAAUCAACCGAGAUUCCGAAAGUAGCGGCGAGCGAAAUCGGAUCAGCCCAGCACUCGAUAGCAGCCAACUUACGGGAACGGUCUGGAAAGUCCGGCCAUAGAGGGUGAUAGCCCCUUACUGGAAAAGGCAGCUGUGGUACUAAGUGUGCGAUAAGUAGAGCGGGACACGUGACAUCCUGCUCGAAGAUGGGGGGACCAUCCUCCAAGGCUAAAUACUCGUGAUCGACCGAUAGCGUACCAGUACUGUGAAGGAAAGGUUAAAAGAACCCCGGGAGGGGAGUGAAAUAGAUCCUGAAACCGCAUACAUACAAACAGUAGGAGCCUCGUUAAGGGGUGACUGCGUACCUUUUGCAUAAUGGGUCAGCGACUUACGUUUAAUGGCGAGCUUAACCGUAUAGGGGAGGCGCAGCGAAAGCGAGUUCGAACAGAGCGUUCAGUCGUUAGGCGUAGACCCGAAACCAGAUGAUCUAUCCAUGGCCAGGUUGAAGGUGUGGUAACACACACUGGAGGACCGAACCGACUAGUGUUGCAAAAUUAGCGGAUGAGCUGUGGAUAGGGGUGAAAGGCUAAACAAAUCUGGAGAUAGCUGGUUCUCCCCGAAAACUAUUGAGGUAGUGCCUCGUGUAUGACUCCAGGGGGUAGAGCACUGUUAUGGCUAGGGGGACAUGGCGUCUUACCAAACCAUGGCAAACUCCGAAUACUUGGAAGUUUGAGCACGGGAGACAGAGCACCGGGUGCUAACGUCCGGACUCAAGAGGGAAACAACCCAGACCGCCGGCUAAGGUCCCUAAUAUUGACUAAGUGGAAAACGAAGUGGAAAGGCUAAGACAGUCAGGAAGUUGGCUUAGAAGCAGCCAUCCUUCAAAGAAAGCGUAAUAGCUCACUGAUCGAGUCUUUCUGCGCGGAAGAUGUAACGGGGCUAAGUCAAUAACCGAAGCCGCGGAUUCACACUUUUGUGUGAGUGGUAGGGGAGCGUUCUGUAAGCCUGCGAAGGUGACUCGUAAGGGUUGCUGGAGGUAUCAGAAGUGCGAAUGCUGACAUGAGUAACGUUAAAGCGGGUGAAAAGCCCGCUCGCCGUAAGCCCAAGGUUUCCUGCUCUACGUUCAUCGGAGCAGGGUGAGUCGGCCCCUAAGGUGAGGCUGAGAAGCGUAACUGAUGGGAACAAGGUUAAUAUUCCUUGACCACCGCUGAAUGCGAAGGGGGGACGGAGUAUUGAAGAUCAUCCGGGUGUUGGAUAUCCCGGUUUGCGAGCGUAGGAGGCUGACAGGCAAAUCCGUCAGCGGAUCUCCGAGGCAAAGCAUCGAGCUCUCUUUUGAGCGAAGUGAUUGGAUGUGCUUCCAGGAAAAGCCUCUAAGCUCCAGUUCAGCGGGACCGUACCGCAAACCGACACUGGUGGGCGAGCUGAAUAUGCUCAGGCGCUUGAGAGAACUCAGGAGAAGGAACUCGGCAAAUUGACACCGUAACUUCGGGAUAAGGUGUGCCUUUGUAGCGUGGAGGGAGAAACACCCCGAGCGCGAAGAGGUCUCAGAUAAUCGGUGGCUGCGACUGUUUAUUAAAAACACAGCACUCUGCAAAGACGAAAGUCGACGUAUAGGGUGUGAUGCCUGCCCGGUGCUGGAAGAUUAAUUGAUGGGGUGCAAGCUCCUGAUCGAAGUCCCAGUAAACGGCGGCCGUAACUAUAACGGUCCUAAGGUAGCGAAAUUCCUUGUC